UACGGAGGGUGCAAGCGUUAAUCGGAAUUACUGGGCGUAAAGCGUGCGCAGGCGGUUUUUUAAGUCUGCUGUGAAAUCCCCGAGCUCAACUUGGGAAUUGCAGUGGAUACUGGCAGGCUGGAGUAUGGUAGAGGAAGGUGGAAUUCCCGGUGUAGCAGUGAAAUGCGUAGAGAUCGGGAGGAACACCAGUGGCGAAGGCGGCCUUCUGGACCAAUACUGACGCUCAUGCACGAAAGCGUGGGGAGCGAACAGG
rnacentral:rRNA from 1 species